UCCUUGUGGUAUGUCCUAAAUUAAUAGACACUUCACUGCCUAAAUGGAUGGUUCCCAUCUUCAGUCAAAGGUUUUCCAAUUUCUGUUUUUUAGUUCUCAUGAGCAGAGUUGGUUAAAUGAAAUUUUCUUAAGUCCAAGUGACAUUUUUUCUUUCCCCAAGAUUGCAUGCAGAAAUGCCUAUGAGGUCACUUUUCAGUUUUUACGACAAUCCAAAUAAGGUGGCCAGAAGGAUAAAGCAAUUUUAGGUGCUUCACCAUUCAACAGGAAAUUGGAGCUGGUGAAGAAGAGUCAAGUCACUACCUGAUGUUUAAGUGAUUUUAAUCUACUGCCUGACACAAUGAUCUUCUCCCGGACAAAUCAGGAAGGGCUGCACUUACUAUGAGAAAGCUGGAACAAGCUAAUGGGGAAGAAGAGGCAAUGACAACAAAAUGAACAAUGAAACUCUUAUCGCCAGUGCUUACUUUCCCAUCUAUGGAGGCCUAGUGGUACAGUAUGUAGCAAACCUACCUCAGUGCUGGAAGUUCUGGGUUCAACAUUCAUCCCAGUACUUGAUUACCAAG